AACUUUCAACAACGGAUCUCUUGGCUCUGGCAUCGAUGAAGAACGCAGCGAAAUGCGAUAAGUAAUGUGAUUUGCAGAAUUCAGUGAAUCAUCGAAUCUUUGAACGCACAUUGCGCCCGCCAGUAUUCUGGCGGGCAUGCCUGUUCGAGCGUCAU
rnacentral:rRNA from 1 species